rnacentral:rRNA from 1 species
UCGAGAAUUUUUCACAAUGGGCGCAAGCCUGAUGGAGCGACGCCGCGUGGGGGAUGAAUGGCUUCGGCCCGUAAACCCCUGUCAUUCGCGACCAACGCUAUCGGUUGAACAUUCUGAUAGCUUGAUGGUAGCGGAAGAGGAAGGGACGGCUAACUCUGUGCCAGCAGCCGCGGUAAUACAGAGGUCCCAAGCGUUGUUCGGAUUCACUGGGCGUAAAGGGUGCGUAGGUGGUUAGGUAAGUCUACUGUGAAAUCUCGGAGCUCAACUCCGAAACUGCAGCGGAUACUAUCUAGCUUGAGGAUUGGAGGGGGACUGGAAUUCUCGGUGUAGCAGUGAAAUGCGUAGAUAUCGAGAGGAACACCAGUGGCGAAGGCGAGUCCCUAGACAAUUCCUGACGCU